UACGGAGGGUGCGAGCGUUGCCCGGAGUCACUGGGCGUAAAGGGCGCGUAGGCGGCCUGAUAAGUAGGGGGUGAAAUCCUGCGGCUUAACCGCAGGGCUGCCUUCUAAACUGUCAGGCUAGAGCACAGUAGAGGCAGGUGGAAUUCCCGGUGUAGCGGUGGAAUGCGUAGAGAUCGGGAAGAACAUCAGUGGCGAAGGCGGCCUGCUGGGCUGUUGCUGACGCUGAGGCGCGACAGCGUGGGGAGCAAACAGG
rnacentral:rRNA from 1 species